rnacentral:tRNA from 1 species
GGAAUAUAGCUCAGUUGGUAGAGCGUCUGCCUGUUAAGCAGAAGGCCGUAGGUUCAAUCCCUGCUGUUCCC